rnacentral:rRNA from 1 species
CCUACGGGUGGCAGCAGUGAGGAAUAUUGGUCAAUGGGAGAGAUCCUGAACCAGCUAAGCCGCGUGAGGGAAGACGGCCCUAUGGGUUGUAAACCUCUUUUGUCGGAGCACAAAACCCGGGACGUGUCCCGGACUGCGUGUAUCCGAAGCAAAAGCAUCGGCUAACUCAGUGCCAGCAGACGCGGUAAUACGGGGGAUGCGAGCGUUAUCGGGAUUUAUUGGGUUUAACGGGUGCGUAGGCGGUCCGUUAAGUCAGCGGGAAAAUUGCGGGGCUCAACCCCGUCGAGCCGAUGAAACUGGCAGACUUGAGUUGGCGAGAGGUACGCGGAAUGCGCGGUGUAGCGGUGAAAUGCAUAGAUAUCGCGCAGAACUCCGAUUGCGAAGGCAGCGUACCGGCGCCAGACUGACGCUGAGGCACGAAAGCGUGGGGAUCGAACAGGAUUAGAUACCCUUGUAGUC